rnacentral:lncRNA from 1 species
GUCUGAUGAGCAGUGCCAUGUCCGCGCCCAGGAUUCGAACUAACGAAACACUGGGCCGCCUGCAGCGGAGCGCGCGAACUUAACCACUCGGCCACGGGGCCAGCCCCUGGAGCUAAUCUUUUAUAACUUCAGUUUACAUGUGGGACGCCUACCACAGCAUGGCUGCCAAGCAGUGCCAUGUCCGCACCCGGGAUCUGAACCAGCGAACCCCAGGCCGCCGAGAAGCGGAAUGUGCGAACUUAACCGCUGCACCACUGGGCCGGCCCCUUAUUUAUUUAUUUUUAAGAAAUUGUGCAGACUAAUUCAAGGAUGGAAAAUGCAUAGCACUUGUGCUACCACUCUACCUGCACAUCCCUGUGGCACAUAUUGACAGUUGAUAGCAAACUCAUUCUCAUUCAGCCUGAACUCAGCCUCCGAUUCCUUCUUAACACAGAAUUCCAGGCAUUCACUAUCAAUCAGUUGUAGUUGUCACAAAGUGGACAUAUUUGAAAUAAAUGCUUUUAGGAAAAAUGUCACAGAAUAAUAUGGUUCUAGAGUUGGUGAAUAAGGAAGAAAUUUUUGUCUCUCUCUGCAAAAUAAAAAUAUCUUUUGGGAAUUGUUCUAAGGUAAUUAGUUGUGUGAAGUCGAUUAUGUUUAUAGUCUUAAAAAGUAUAUUUUCCUAUGCUUUUUUUACCUUAAAAUCCAAAUUAUCAAAGUAGAUUCAUUUCUUUUU